ACUUAGGCUCUUAAGAUCGGGUU
rnacentral:siRNA from 1 species